UACGUAGGGGGCUAGCGUUGUCCGGAAUCAUUGGGCGUAAAGAGCGUGUAGGCGGUCCGGUAAGUCCGCUGUGAAAGUCGGGGGCUCAACCCUCGAAUGCCGGUGGAUACUGUCGGGCUAGAGUGCGGAAGAGGCGAGUGGAAUUCCUGGUGUAGCGGUGAAAUGCGCAGAUAUCAGGAGGAACACCGAUGGCGAAGGCAGGUCUCUGGGCCACUACUGACGCUGAGGAGCGAAAGCGUGGGGAGCGAACAGG
rnacentral:rRNA from 1 species